rnacentral:rRNA from 1 species
UACGUAGGGUGCAAGCGUUGUCCGGAAUUAUUGGGCGUAAAGAGCUCGUAGGCGGUUUGUUGCGUCGGCUGUGAAAACCUGAGGCUCAACCUCAGGCCUGCAGUCGAUACGAGCAGACUAGAGUGUUGCAGGGGAGACUGGAAUUCCUGGUGCAGCGGUGAAAUGCGCAGAUAUCAGGAGGAACACCGGUGGCGAAGGCGGGUCUCUGGGCAACAACUGACGCUGAGGAGCGAAAGCGUGGGGAGCGAACAGG